CGGGUUGUAAAGCACUUUCAGUAGGGAGGAAGGUAGUGUAGUUAACACCUGCACAUUUGACGUUACCUACAGAAGAAGCACCGGCUAACUCCGUGCCAGCAGCCGCGGUAAUACGGAGGGUGCGAGCGUUAAUCGGAAUUACUGGGCGUAAAGCGCAUGCAGGCGGCCUGUUAAGUCAGAUGUGAAAGACCCGGGGCGUUAACCUCGGAAUUGCAUUUGUAAACUAGGCAGGCUAGAGUCUUGUAGAGGGGGGUAGGAAUUUCAGGUGUAGCGGUGAAAUAGCGUAGAGAUCUGAAGGAAUACCAGUGGCGAAGGCGGCCCCCCUCGGACAAAGACUGACGCUCAGAUGCGAAAGCGUGGGGAGCAAACAGGAUUAGAUACCCCUGGUAG
rnacentral:rRNA from 1 species